ACAAAGCCUAAUAAUAUACUUGCCAUGUGGCUCUUCGGAGAAGCUUUUGGACUCAUGAUCUUCUUGGUCUCUCUUCAGGAGAAAGGUCCCAGGGCUUGGCUUGACCCUGCUCCUAGGUGGUGAACUCAAACUCACAGUGCCCUUGAUAUGGACUUGUUGUGGGAGUUACUGAAUUCCAGGUGAAGUCAUGAGGAUGCCUUCCGUGGCUUCCUGCUAAUGUCCCAGGGCCCGAGGCUCUGAAUAGCAGGAUGUCUGUUCUCCAGCUGUUUUUCCAACAGGAAGAGGAGAUCAAAUAAACAACGCAUACACAGUAGUUCAUUUGAAACCACAGUUACAACUCUGGAGAAACUUGCAGAGAGCCACCUGAAGCCACCGAAUCUCUUAUAUACUCUUUUAAAUGAACUUAAGUAAAUGUUUUACAGUACUGAAGUGAAUGUGGUCAGAACUAUUCUCCCAGCCCCUACAACACUUUUCUUUCUUGCACUAGUACAUUCAAUUGAGCAUGCUCAGAAAGGUAUACCUUAAUUGGAAUUUGGUUUCAGAGGCUAGAUGCUUCCGUCAGACUUCCGGUACCAGAGUUGAAAAGCUACAGUGCCUCGUGACAAUUCUGAUGCAGGAGAAAUUCUAUUCUCAGAUGGAAACCGGGACACAACUGACCAUGUUAGAUAAUGGUGAUGCAUUGAACUGGGAACCUGGAUGA
rnacentral:lncRNA from 1 species